AGAACGAACGUUGGCGGCGUGGAUUAGGCAUGCAAGUCGCGGGAAUCCCAGCAAUGGGGGAACCGGCGUAAGGGGCAGUAAUGCGUGGGUACCUACCCGGGGUCCGGGAUAGCCGUCCGAGAGGGCGGGUAAUACCGGAUGACCUCGGGAGAGCAAAGCUCCGGCGCCCUGGGAGGGGCCCACGUGAUAUUAGCUGGUUGGUGA
rnacentral:rRNA from 1 species